CCUACGGGGUGCAGCAGUAGGGAAUCUUUCACAAUGGGCGAAAGCCUGAUGGAGCAACGCCGCGUGCAGGAUGAAGGCCUUCGGGUUGUAAACUGCUUUUAUAAGCGAGAAAUAUGAUGGUAACUUAUGAAUAAGGAUCGGCUAACUACGUGCCAGCAGCCGCGGUCAUACGUAGGAUCCGAGCAUUAUCCGGAGUGACUGGGUGUAAAGAGUUGCGUAGGUGGCAUAAUAAGUAGCUAGUGAAAUCGGGUGGCUCAACCAUUCAGACUAUUAGCUAAACUGUUAAGCUCGAGACCGUUAGGGGUAACUGGAAUUUCUAGUGUAGGAGUGAAAUCCGUAGAUAUUAGAAGGAACACCAAUAGCGUAGGCAGGUUACUGGGACGGUUCUGACACUAAGGCACGAAAGCGUAGGGAGCAAACGGGAUUAGAUACCCCUGUAGUC
rnacentral:rRNA from 1 species